AGUGAACGCUGGCGGUAGGCCUAACACAUGCAAGUCGAACGGCAGCACAGUAAGAGCUUGCUCUUACGGGUGGCGAGUGGCGGACGGGUGAGGAAUACAUCGGAAUCUACUUUUUCGUGGGGGAUAACGUAGGGAAACUUACGCUAAUACCGCAUACGACCUACGGGUGAAAGCAGGGGAUCUUCGGACCUUGCGCGAUUGAAUGAGCCGAUGUCGGAUUAGCUAGUUGGCGGGGUAAAGGCCCACCAAGGCGACGAUCCGUAGCUGGUCUGAGAGGAUGAUCAGCCACACUGGAACUGAGAAACGGUCCAGACUCCUACGGGAGGCAGCAGUGGGGAAUAUUGGACAAUGGGCGCAAGCCUGAUCAAGCCAUACCGCGUGGGUGAAGAAGGCCUUCGGGUUGUAAAGCCCUUUUGUUGGGAAAGAAAAGCAGCAGGUUAAUACCCCGCUGUUCUGACGGUACCCAAAGAAUAAGCACCGGCUAACUUCGUG
rnacentral:rRNA from 1 species